AUAUAUUUAGCCCCAUAUGUUCUCAAUGAACAUUGGAUGCUGAUGGCGAUUUGUCCUCGACUAAAUGAAAUUUUUUGGUUUGAUUCACUUGGUCAUGGGUCGCGUGAAGACAUUAAACAUAUAAUGGAAACGUGUAUGGCUGCAACAAGCAUGUUGAAUGAAAAGAAACAAAAUCGUUCACCGAAAUGGA